rnacentral:rRNA from 1 species
ACACAUGCAAGUCGAACGGUACAGGUCUUCGGAUGCUGACGAGUGGCGAACGGGUGAGUAAUACAUCGGAACGUGCCCAGUAAUGGGGGAUAGCUCGGCGAAAGCCGGAUUAAUACCGCAUACGCCCUGAGGGGGAAAGUGGGGGAUCGCAAGACCUCACGUUAUUGGAGCGGCCGAUGGCUGAUUAGCUAGUUGGUAGGGUAAAGGCCUACCAAGGCGACGAUCAGUAGCUGGUCUGAGAGGACGAUCAGCCACACUGGGACUGAGACACGGCCCAGACUCCUACGGGAGGCAGCAGUGGGGAAUUUUGGACAAUGGGGGAAACCCUGAUCCAGCAAUGCCGCGUGUGCGAAGAAGGCCUUCGGGUUGUAAAGCACUUUUGUCAGGGAAGAAAUCCUUUGGGCUAAUACCCUAGGGGGAUGACGGUACCUGAAGAAUAAGCACCGGCUAACUACGUGCCAGCAGCCGCGGUAAUACGUAGGGUGCAAGCGUUAAUCGGAAUUACUGGGCGUAAAGCGUGCGCAGGCGGUUGUGUAAGACAGGUGUGAAAUCCCCGGGCUUAACCUGGGAAUUGCAUUUGUGACUGCACGACUAGAGUGUGUCAGAGGGGGGUGGAAUUCCACGUGUAGCAGUGAAAUGCGU